GCAAGCCUGAUGCAGCCAUGCCGCGUGUGUGAAGAAGGCCUUCGGGUUGUAAAGCACUUUCAGUCGUGAGGAAGGUNGUGNUGUUAAUAGCUGNAUUAUUUGACGUUAGCGACAGAAGAAGCACCGGCUAACUCCGUGCCAGCAGCCGCGGUAAUACGGAGGGUGCGAGCGUUAAUCGGAAUUACUGGGCGUAAAGCGCAUGCAGGUGGUUUGUUAAGUCAGAUGUGAAAGCCCGGGGCUCAACCUCGGAAUAGCAUUUGAAACUGGCAGACUAGAGUACUGUAGAGGGGGGUAGAAUUUCAGGUGUAGCGGUGAAAUGCGUAGAGAUCUGAAGGAAUACCGGUGGCGAAGGCGGCCCCCUGGACAGAUACUGACACUCAGAUGCGAAAGCGUGGGGAGCAAACAGGAUUAGAUACCCUGGUAGUCCACGCCGUAAACGAUGUCUACUUGGAGGUUGUGGCCUUGAGCCGUGGCUUUCGGAGCUAACGCGUUAAGUAGACCGCCUGGGGAGUACGGUCGCAAGAUUAAAACUCAAAUGAAUUGACGGGGGCCCGCACAAGCGGUGGAGCAUGUGGUUUAAUUCGAUGCAACGCGAAGAACCUUACCUACUCUUGACAUCCAGAGAACUUUCCAGAGAUGGAUUGGUGCCUUCGGGAACUCUGAGACAGGUGCUGCAUGGCUGUCGUCAGCUCGUGUUGUGAAAUGUUGGGUUAAGUCCCGCAACGAGCGCAACCCUUAUCCUUGUUUGCCAGCACUUCGGGUGGGAACUCCAGGGAGACUGCCGGUGAUAAACCGGAGGAAGGUGGGGACGACGUCAAGUCAUCAUGGCCCUUA
rnacentral:rRNA from 1 species